rnacentral:tRNA from 1 species
CGGCUGGCUGGUCCAGCGGCAGGGCUUCGUCGCCUCGGUCGGCGAGUCCGCCGGGGCGGGGUUCGCCCUGCUGCUGGCCGUC